GAUGAACGCUGGCGGCGUGCUUAACACAUGCAAGUCGAACGGAGUUUACAUGUGAGCGGAGGGUGCUUGCAUCUAACAAUCUUUUGUAAACUUAGUGGCGGACGGGUGAGUAACGCGUGGGUAACCUGCCGUAUACAGGGGGACAACAGUUGGAAACGACUGCUAAUACCGCAUAAGCGCACAGGACCGCAUGGUCUGGUGUGAAAAACUCCGGUGGUAUACGAUGGACCCGCGUCUGAUUAGCUAGUUGGUGAGGUAACGGCCCACCAGGGCGACGAUCAGUAGCCGGCCUGAGAGGGUGAACGGCCACAUUGGGACUGAGACACGGCCCAAACUCCUACGGGAGGCAGCAGUGGGGAAUAUUGGGCAAUGGGCGCAAGCCUGACCCAGCAAUGCCGCGUGAAGGAAGACGGUUUUCGGAUUGUAAACUUCUUUUAAGAGGGACGAUAAUGACGGUACCUCUUGAAUAAGCCACGGCUAACUACGUG
rnacentral:rRNA from 1 species